UACGAAGGGGGGCUAGCGUUGUUCGGAAUUACUGGGCGUAAAGCGUGCGCAGGCGGUCUGUUAAGACCGAUGUGAAAUCCCCGGGCUUAACCUGGGAACUGCAUUGGUGACUGGCAGGCUUUGAGUGUGGCAGAGGGAGGUAGAAUUCCACGUGUAGCAGUGAAAUGCGUAGAGAUGUGGAGGAAUACCGAUGGCGAAGGCAGCCUCCUGGGCCAACACUGACGCUCAUGCACGAAAGCGUGGGGAGCAAACAGG
rnacentral:rRNA from 1 species